UUUCUCUGGACAGAGGUUGGCAAGUCCACCCUGAUCAGUCAUUCUGAUAUUUAGUUAUCCCCACAUUCUUAGCUUGGCUGCUCGAUUGGUAUGUCAGGGAAGCAGGUCCUGCAGUCGAUCAUGCUUGCCAAUAAUAAUUUUCCUCGUUCCCUGGAGAGCAUCGGAAGGCUGAAUGAAGUUCCAAGUUACUGCGAUGCCUGCUGCUCAGCUCCGGCUGCC